rnacentral:lncRNA from 1 species
CUGAACUACUUUCCUAAAUACCAAUCAAACUGACUAACCCUAGUUCGAUCCAACUCUUAAGAUCCCUUGUCCUAUUGAGCUCGAGAGUUCUUAGGGGCCAACGUCUAAUUAAUUUUAAGUUAUAAUUUAGGUCAAUGCAAUAUGAAGGAUGGUAGUUUGUGGGCCAAGAAAAGAUGAUGAAAUCUCUUACCUUAUCUUGUUUAGAAUUUAUGCCCCUA